UGGGGAAUCUUGCACAAUGGACGAAAGUCUGAUGCAGCAACGCCGCGUGGGGGAUGAAGCUUUUCGGAGUGUAAACCCCUUUCGACCCGGAAGAAUGCCCGCAAGGGUUUGACGGUACGGGUAUAAGAAGCCCCGGCUAACUACGUGCCAGCAGCCGCGGUAAUACGUAGGGGGCCAGCGUUGCUCGGAAUUACUGGGCGUAAAGGGUCCGUAGGCGGUGUGGCAAGUCGGGAGUGAAAUCUCUGGGCUUAACCCAGAGGCUGCUUCCGAAACUGCCAUGCUAGAGUGUGAGAGAGGCGAGUGGAAUUACGGGUGUAGCGGUGAAAUGCGUAGAUAUCCGUAGGAACAUCCGAGGCGAAGGCGGCUCGCUGGAUCACAACUGACGCUGAGGGACGAAAGCUAGGGGAGCAAACAGGAUUAGAUACCCUGGUAGUCCUAGCCCUAAACCAUCAGGACUUGGGGUGUGCCCUGUACGGGGCACGUCCCGUAGCUAACGCGUUAAGUCCUGCGCCUGGGGAGUACGGUCGCAAGGC
rnacentral:rRNA from 1 species